GAACUCAAGCAAGGCUACCCACUGAAUUUAAGCAUAUAAGUAAGUGGAGGAAAAGAAAAUGAAUAUGAUUCCGUUAGUAAGGGCGACUGAACCCGGAAAAGCUCAAAAUGCUAAUCGGGAACUUUGUUCUUGAAUUGUAGUCUUGAGAUUCUUUGCCAGCUCGACCUCCUGCGUAAGUCUUUUUGGAAGAAAGCAUCAAAGAGGGUGAGAAUCCCGUUCACGUGGAGAGGUUUGGGCAUACGGCGGGACUUCGUAGAGUCGCGUACUUUGGACGUGGUGCGCAAAAUGGGAGGUAAUUUUCUUCUAAAGCUAAAUAUUGGUUCGAGACCGAUAGCAAACAAGUACCGUGAGGGAAAGAUGAAAAGUACUUUGGAAAGAGGGUUAAAAGUGCCUGAAAUCGCUAAGAGGGAAGCGAAUGAAACCAGUUUCUUUUUGUGAGAUUGUUGGAGGCCAAGGUGAAUAUCUGUACCGCAAGGGCAGUGAUUUGAUCUGGACGUCUUCAGUGCUUCUCUCGGAGAGUCGCCAUCGUGUUUUGGGUGUUCGGUUAAUAUCUUCAUGCAUUAUAGGAUCGCUCCUGUGUUCCAUAUUGCUUGACUGAGGGCCUUACCCCGAUACAGGAAUGCGGUUGGCAUUCAAUGCGCCGUAAGCUGGUUGAAGGUUUUGCGGACUUCUAAAGUGCGUUUCUCCGAUGCUAGAUGAGGUGUAAUAGUGCUGAUCCACGACGAUGGCUAAAUGGUUUUUUUCUACCCGUCUUGAAACACGGACCAAGGAGUCGACCUCUAUCGCAAGUGUGCGGGUGGCAAACCUGUACGCGGAAUGAAAGUAACAGAUAGGAUUUUUUUGUUUUGCACUAUCGACCGACUUUUUUCUCUUGAAAGAGGUUUGAGUAUGAGCGAUAAGGGUCGGACCCGAAAGAUGGUGAACUAUGCUUGAGUAGGCUGAAGUCAGGGGAAACUCUGAUGGAGGGCCGCAGCGGUACUGACGUGCAAAUCGUUCGUCAAACUUGAGUAUAGGGGCGAAAGACUAAUCGAACCAUCUAGUAGCUGGUUCACUCCGAAGUUUCCCUCAGGAUAGCUGGAGUUUGUUAACAGUUUUGUCAGGUAAAGCGAAUGAUUAGAAGCAUUGGGGGAGCUUAUCCCUCGACUUAUUCUCAAACUUUAAAUGGGCAAGAGCCGUGGCUUACCUUACGGAAGUCUCGGGAUAAAUGGGAACUCCAAGUGGGCCAUUCUUGGUAAGCAGGACUGGCGAUGAGGGAUGAACCUAACGUUGAGUUAAGGUGCCAAAUUGCUCGCUCAUCGGAUACCACAAAGGGUGUUGGUUCAUUUUAACAGCAGGACGGUGGUCAUGGAAGUCGAAAUCCGCUAAGGAGUGUGUAACAACUCAC
rnacentral:rRNA from 1 species